GUCAAAAUCUUAUCAUUCCCCUUUUCACAUCUAGCAGUCUCUCUCGACUCUAGCAAUUCCACUAUUUCUUUCUUGGAAUCAUUUUCAUUGUUGUUUGGGCUUCCCACUUGUCUUUAUGUCACUGCUAAUCACUUUGUUUCAAGGUGGCAGCAAGAACAACAUAGUCCUAAGUUGUACAAUGAUUUUUUAUACCAACCAGGACACAAGACCAUGAUAAGAUCACCCCAAAUUUAACCAUUUUUUUUAAUUCCACACUUGAGUACUACUUGUCAUUCUUUCUCUAUUUUUAAAACCCAAAGGCUCCUUUUUUUUUUAGCUUUUGAUGACUCUCUUUAUAUAUAGCCUCUUAAAACCUUGACAAUGUAUUAUAGCGCUAACAGAAAGAGUCUAUCAUUUCCUUCAUUAUUGGUCGAUGGCCUUUUAUAAGUAGCUGAUUUUUUUUUAACAAUGUUUGUUGUGUCUUUCUUUUACUUGUAUAUGGAUUUAAACAUAUAAGUUUUUUUUUACUAGUGGAAUGUAUUGUAUAAUGAUUGACAUAGUAGAAGAAAGUUAUGCAAAUGU